rnacentral:rRNA from 1 species
GACGAACGCUGGCGGUGUGCUUAACACAUGCAAGUCGAACGAAGUGGCGAACGGGUGAGUAACGCGUAAUCAACCUGCCCUUCAGAGGGGGACAACAGUUGGAAACGACUGCUAAUACCGCAUACUGAAGUAGGGGAAUGCGUCUGAGUAGCUAGUGGACUGGGUAACGGCCCACCAAGGCGAUGAUCAGUAGCCGGUCUGAGAGGAUGAACGGCCACAUUGGGACUGAGACACGGCCCAGACUCCUACGGGAGGCAGCAGUGGGGAAUCUUCCGCAAUGGACGAAAGUCUGACGGAGCAACGCCGCGUGAGUGAUGACGGCCUUCGGGUUGUAAAGCUCUGUUAAUCGGGACGCGGUACCGGAAUAGAAAGCACCGGCUAACUCCGUGCCAGCCGCCGCGGUAUUC